UUUUUUUUUUUUUUUUUUUUUUUUUUUGGAACAUCGCUGUUUCUUGCUUUAGAUUCAAGUUUCUUUCUACUUAAGUAUUAAUACAAGCACUGCAAGUACGGAAUUCGCGGAAGUCCGAACUGCCGCGAAUAAAUACCUUGACGAGACAUGUCCAUG
rnacentral:ribozyme from 12 species